rnacentral:rRNA from 1 species
UAGGGAAUUUUCGGCAAUGGGGGGAACCCUGACCGAGCGAUGCCGCGUGAGUGAUGAAGGUCUUCGGACUGUAAAACUCUGUUAUUAGGGAAGAAUACUAUAGGGAGGAAAUGCCUUAUAGAUGACGGUACCUAAUGAGGAAGCCCCGGCCAACUAUGUGCCAGCAGCCGCGGUAAUACAUAGGGGGCGAGCGUUAUCCGGAAUUACUGGGCGUAAAGGGUGCGUAGGCGGUUUCUUAAGUCUAGUGUGAAAGCCCACGGCUUAACCGUGGAGGGUCAUUAGAAACUGGGAGACUUGAGUACAGCAGAGGUAAGUGGAAUUUCUAGUGGAGCGGUGAAAUGCGUAGAUAUUAGAAGGAACACCAGUGGCGAAGGCGGCUUACUGGGCUGGAACUGACGCU